CCACGGUAUCUCUGAGGUCUGUCUGUACACAGAUGUGAUUUGUGAUAAUAACACCGCAGAGGACAGGGAGGGAAAGGCACUGUAGGAGAACAAGAUCUUUGCAUGCUACGGAAAGUAAAUCGGUAUUAAUCUGAGCUAGCUUCUUAUGUGUUAAGAGGAACCAGAUAUCCUUUCAGGAACCAUGGAGGCAGCAAAGAACAAGCCAAAGUCUCCCCCUCAUGGAGCUUUUGUUCUGUUGGGAAAAGAGCCUGUUUUCUGGAUCUAGCAUCAACCAGUGCCAUUAAGAACAUCAUGCUUCCAUGAUCAAAAGCGAAACAAUCACCAACUCCUGAACCGCAGCCAGAAUGAUGAAGUAGAUCCAGAUGUCACAGAUCUGAAGCCAAAUGUUUACGUCACAUCUUAAAAACAAUCGGUAUUGAGUCCCGUGAAGCUAUGGAGCCAUACAUCAGGUACUUUCGUGUAUCAAGGAAACAGAGGGUGAUGCUGGCUUUAUAUAGAAAGGUAAUGAAAUAAAUGUCCACAACGUAACUGAAUUUAUGUUGACUCUCUCCCAAAGCCUAACGUUUUCAGUCCACUGAGGCCGAUUUUUCCAGAACCUACCCUCUCCCCUGGCAUAAAGGUUUCAGUUGAAUCUGCAAUGAUUGAGUGGCAAAAUAAUAUUUGUUUUAAAAAAAGAAUAUACCACUGAAACUAAGUUUGUGUUAAUACAAUCUCUAAUGUGAUUUCCAAUCUCAUACCCUAGUAAGACACUUUUUAAAACAUGUGGGUCUCCCUGUCCCUGUUGUUUGGAGUUUUCUCCACUAUGGGUGCCAUCUGUCUGUAACAUCUGUUGUCCCAUGGAUUGCCAAAGUCGAUUUGGAUGAUCUGCCUGGUUUCUUUCUCUUUUGGAUAUUUCUGACUACCUGUCCGUCUUGUUACCCGAAGAGAUGUCGGUCUAUACGGACAAAAGUUGUUGUAACCAUAUUUCUAAAGCCUAAGAUUUGAAUAUUCACAGUCUGAUGAGUAUGACUAAUACCUAAGCAUCCAACAGGGUGUUAAAGUCUAUCUGCAUGG